rnacentral:rRNA from 1 species
GACGAACGCUGGCGGCGUGCCUAACACAUGCAAGUCGAGCGAGAGACUUCGGUCUCUAGCGGCGGACGGGUGAGUAACACGUGGGUAACCUGCCUCAUAGAGGGGGAUAGCCUCCCGAAAGGGAGAUUAAUACCGCAUAACAUCAUGCUUUCGCAUGGAAGUAUGAUCAAAGGAGCAAUCUGCUAUGAGAUGGACCCGCGGCGCAUUAGCUAGUUGGUGAGGUAACGGCUCACCAAGGCGACGAUGCGUAGCCGACCUGAGAGGGUGAUCGGGCACAUUGGAACUGAGACACGGUCCAGACUCCUACGGGAGGCAGCAGUGGGGAAUAUUGCACAAUGGGCGAAAGCCUGAUGCAGCAACGCCGCGUGAGUGAUGAAGGCCUUCGGGUUGUAAAGCUCUGUCUUUUGGGACGAUAAUGACGGUACCAAAGGAGGAAGCCACGGCUAACUACGUGCCAGCCGCCGCGGUAAAAC